ensembl:ncRNA K03H9.8 ncRNA
UGAUAAGGUCAACAUGUGACUGACAGUUGGCAGCUGGAACGGAGGAACGAGGCAAAUGGAAUGUUUGAAGACGAAAAAAUAAGAUAUUGUUAAGAGGAAGAUUGUAAUAGGCGACUGUCUAUG